rnacentral:lncRNA from 1 species
GAUAAUACAAAAAUCUCUAAUAUUUGGUGAUUUGGCCACUUGUAGAGUAUAUCUGCCACAUGACCAUAGUAUGAUUCCACUGCCUCUCCUAGACCCAUUUUGAUAGUUAUUAAUCUUUCUAAAAGUCAAUCUUCAAAACCAAUUGGAUGAAAAUGGAUUAAAAAUACAUUCUUCAAUGCUUUCCAAUUGAAAAAUUGAUCCACUAGUUGAUGGUUGUAUCAUUCAAAUAUUGUGUCUUUCAAGGUUGCUGGCAACUAUCAUAACCAAAUAUCUUCAGUUCUU